UUUCCUGAAAUAUAUUUUGAAUAGAACUUAUUAGAGCAAGUUCAUGCAGAUAUCAUUCCCAUGUUUAGAACUGUAGUUACUCAAGAUUUUGUCUUUGGUCUUUCCAGGGUUUAAAGUUGACCAUAAAUUAGUCCAUAUCACAAGUAGACAUUGCCAAAUGCUAAUAGACGGUCAUGUUCCACAAGCCUAAUCCAGUUAUUCAAAUAUUGUCUGCAACAAAAUUUGUAAAUAUGUAAAUAUACACUGCAUAUUGUCCUAUUCUAUUAACUAAUAUAUAUACCUUUGACAAGUUAUAGCUUGCAUUUCUUUAGGUGUAAAAAAGUACUGCAUGGUCUAUUCUGUUGAUUUUCUUGGAAAUAAACAUUCAAAUAGGGAUAUGAGAUGUAAGAUAUGAGGGCAACUCACCAAAGCUUACAUUUGUUGAUUCUGGAAUGUCUGUCACCAACCUGCAUUCAUGAUUACCACCGUCUUACCAAUGAAGGUAUUCUCUUUUGGUUGGAUUGCUUGGACUCGGGUAGAAGCUUUGGUGGGACGAGCAUACUAUACUGCAAUGAUAGAAGGUCUUCUGGGAGCCCCUCUAUGCACUCGACGUUUAGGACCACGUACCCGAAGACAUAUUAGUAUAACUACAUUAUACCUGCAUUCAUCUCUUCUGACUUCUGUUCUAGUUAAAUCAUGGAAUACGACCGUUGGAGGAGGAGCUUCAAGUAAUGGAAAAUUCUGCUCCCAGUUGCUGAUCUUUUGUUUUGGUGGAAAUGAACUGCCUACGGCAGCUGAUAUGGUCUUCAAAGAGAGGUGGCAGAGCUAUGACAGCUUGCUUGAACUGUGCAGGCUAUCAGGUAUUCAUGUUUCAGUUCUGCGCCGAAACCCUGAAAGGUGACACUACUUGCAUUGGAGGCAAGAAGCUCAAAUUCGAUUAGAGAAUCUCUACUGUGCAUUAAAACGGUGAUGCUAAAAAAGUAGAAACUUGUCUCCCAAUCCUUAAUACCAGACCUUCAGCAACUUCAGCAAGUUCCGAACAUGGAACUGAAAGAGUUUAGUUAACACGAUGGUGCAUUGACUACGAACGCCAAAGUUCGUGAAAUGACUGGUUCAUUGCACAUUCUUGAUCCUUGACCAACGAAUAAAGCAGUUCUUCUCUUCA